rnacentral:rRNA from 1 species
ACAGCAGCAGCCGCGGGAAUACGAAGGGGGCUAGCGUUGUUCGGAAUCACUGGGCGUAAAGGGUGCGUAGGCGGAUUCUUAAGUCAGGGGUGAAAUCCCGAGGCUCAACCUCGGAACUGCCUUUGAUACUGGGGAUCUUGAGUCCGGAAGAGGUGAGUGGAACUGCGAGUGUAGAGGUGAAAUUCGUAGAUAUUCGCAAGAACACCGGUGGCGAAGGCGGCUCACUGGUCCGGAACUGACGCUGAGGCACGACAGCGUGGGGAGCAAACAGGAUUAGAUACCCCUGUAGUCCCUGUCUCUUAUAC